AACGCACGAGACCUGCGGACCUGCGGAGGGAUCAUUACCGAGUCUCCGACUCCCAAACCACUGUGAACCUACCUCUUUAGCGCUCCGCCGGGCCGGCCCCGGGGGGUCGGUUGCCGCUAGGCGCCCGGCGGAGCUCUGGAAAACCUCUCUCAGCGAGCUUCUGAGUCUUGUCUCUAAAAGAGUCACAACUUUCAGCAAUGGAUCUCU
rnacentral:misc_RNA from 1 species